GUGGGGAAUAUUGGGCAAUGGGCGAAAGCCUGACCCAGCAACGCCGCGUGAAGGAAGAAGGUUUUCGGAUCGUAAACUUCUAUCCUUGGUGAAGAUAAUGACGGUAGCCAAGAAGGAAGCCCCGGCUAACUACGUGCCAGCAGCCGCGGUAAUACGUAGGGGGCAAGCGUUGUCCGGAAUGAUUGGGCGUAAAGGGCGCGUAGGCGGCCCGGUAAGUCUGAAGUGAAAGUCCUGCUGUUAAGGUGGGAAUUGCUUUGGAUACUGUCGGGCUUGAGUGCAGGAGAGGUAAGCGGAAUUCCCGGUGUAGCGGUGAAAUGCGUAGAGAUCGGGAGGAACACCAGUGGCGAAGGCGGCUUACUGGACUGUAACUGACGCUGAGGCGCGAAAGUGUGGGGAGCAAACAGGAUUAGAAACCCUUGUAGUCC
rnacentral:rRNA from 1 species